GGAUGAGCGCAUCCAUGGUAAGGAUGAGGUCUCGGGUUCAAGCCCCGAUCGUGGCUCCA
rnacentral:tRNA from 1 species